rnacentral:rRNA from 3 species
AGAGUUUGAUCCUGGCUCAGGACGAACGCUGGCGGCGUGCUUAACACAUGCAAGUCGAACGGAAAGGCCCUGCUUUUGUGGGGUGCUCGAGUGGCGAACGGGUGAGUAACACGUGAGUAACCUGCCCUUGACUUUGGGAUAACUUCAGGAAACUGGGGCUAAUACCGGAUAGGAGCUCCUGCUGCAUGGUGGGGGUUGGAAAGUUUCGGCGGUUGGGGAUGGACUCGCGGCUUAUCAGCUUGUUGGUGGGGUAGUGGCUUACCAAGGCUUUGACGGGUAGCCGGCCUGAGAGGGUGACCGGCCACAUUGGGACUGAGAUACGGCCCAGACUCCUACGGGAGGCAGCAGUGGGGAAUAUUGCACAAUGGGCGGAAGCCUGAUGCAGCAACGCCGCGUGCGGGAUGACGGCCUUCGGGUUGUAAACCGCUUUCGCCUGUGACGAAGCGUGAGUGACGGUAAUGGGUAAAGAAGCACCGGCUAACUACGUGCCAGCAGCCGCGGUGAUACGUAGGGUGCGAGCGUUGUCCGGAUUUAUUGGGCGUAAAGGGCUCGUAGGUGGUUGAUCGCGUCGGAAGUGUAAUCUUGGGGCUUAACCCUGAGCGUGCUUUCGAUACGGGUUGACUUGAGGAAGGUAGGGGAGAAUGGAAUUCCUGGUGGAGCGGUGGAAUGCGCAGAUAUCAGGAGGAACACCAGUGGCGAAGGCGGUUCUCUGGGCCUUUCCUGACGCUGAGGAGCGAAAGCGUGGGGAGCGAACAGGCUUAGAUACCCUGGUAGUCCACGCUGUAAACGGUGGGUACUAGGUGUGGGGUCCAUUCCACGGGUUCCGUGCCGUAGCUAACGCUUUAAGUACCCCGCCUGGGGAGUACGGCCGCAAGGCUAAAACUCAAAGGAAUUGACGGGGCCCCGCACAAGCGGCGGAGCAUGCGGAUUAAUUCGAUGCAACGCGUAGAACCUUACCUGGGUUUGACAUGGAUCGGGAGCGCUCAGAGAUGGGUGUGCCUCUUUUGGGGUCGGUUCACAGGUGGUGCAUGGCUGUCGUCAGCUCGUGUCGUGAGAUGUUGGGUUAAGUCCCGCAACGAGCGCAACCCUUGUUCACUGUUGCCAGCACGUUAUGGUGGGGACUCAGUGGAGACCGCCGGGGUCAACUCGGAGGAAGGUGGGGAUGACGUCAAGUCAUCAUGCCCCUUAUGUCCAGGGCUUCACGCAUGCUACAAUGGCUGGUACAGAGAGUGGCGAGCCUGUGAGGGUGAGCGAAUCUCGGAAAGCCGGUCUCAGUUCGGAUUGGGGUCUGCAACUCGACCUCAUGAAGUCGGAGUCGCUAGUAAUCGCAGAUCAGCAACGCUGCGGUGAAUACGUUCCCGGGGCUUGUACACACCGCCCGUCAAGUCAUGAAAGUUGGUAACACCCGAAGCCGGUGGCCUAACCGUUGUGGGGGAGCCGUCGAAGGUGGGACUGGUGAUUAGGACUAAGUCGUAACAAGGUAGCCGUACCGGAAGGUGCGGCUG